GAGAUAUACAAAGAGAGAUCAUGAGGUGAUCCAAAAGUGUGAGUUUAUGAGUUUUUGAGAGCUUGUGGUUUUUAGAGAGUUUCCACAAGAUAUUAAUAAGAAGAGUUGUUCUUUUGCGAGUUUAUACUUUCAUACGUUUGAGACCUGUUUUCUAGAAGCACAACCGUCAUAUCCGCCUUCUACGCAUCCUUCGAGCGUUGCGCCUGCGUCAACCUUUCGACCUCCGAUGAUGAUGACGACGACAACGAGGAAUCCCACAAUCGUCCUCUUGCUCUCUCCGCCGCUCCUCAACCAGACGACAUCUUUUAGCUGUAAUCUGUCGGUCCUGAAAUUAGAUCUGGGAUGCAUGAUGCUCACAACUUUUGAUUGUAUAUGCCAGAUUCCAUGCUUGUUUUUUUUUCAAGCAUUUUUGUCCUAACAUCUUUGUAUAAACUGAUUAUGCUUGCCUCUGAAAGGAUUUGGAAUCUGAAUUUUUGUUGGAGUAGUUUGCAUAGUUUCUUUGUAUGAGAAUGACUGUGCUGAAG
rnacentral:lncRNA from 1 species